CUCCGGGGAAACGGUGCAACCGCUGUGGGACCCGCUUGGAGUUCCUCAGACAGCCGCACAGAAUCUUCACACGUGUGGGCGUGUGCCCUGAGGAGCUGAAGGCCGACACAGACACCGCGAUCACCGCAGCGCCAUUCACAGGAGCCGGGCCGGGGAUGGGACUUCAUGAGAAGGGAAACACCAGCACAGAGAAGCCAACCUCCCAACAGGACCCAAGCAGCCACAGAAGGGCUUCGUUUCUGGAGGCACCUGCUGCUUCUGUGGGAGCUAAUAGAACGCCAGCCACCGUGAGAAAGAAGUCAUUCGCUACGGUGAUGUGGUCAACGGUGCCUGGCCUGCGUGUGCUUAGGGACGGAAUGACGCCACCCUCCCUGCUCCCACCACCGUCACCGUUGUCACUGUCAUUUGGAAACUUCCAGAACUCACAGCCCACAGGGGAAAAAAUAGCGCAAGAACAACUGUUCCCUGAGGCAGGCGUUGAUAUCUGAAAUAAAUUUGCAUCCGUGUUCACUGUAA